rnacentral:lncRNA from 1 species
GAUGGAAAUGAAGGGCAUACGGUUUGGAUAGGAUCGAAUCUAAAUGAGGUAAUCCGAAAUCAAUUAACUUCCUUUUUACAUGAGAAUGCAGACGUCUUUGCCUGGUCAGUAGCAGAUAUGCCUGAAAUUGAUCCAGAAGUAGUGGUGCAUCGACUGAGCACGGACCAUCUACAUCGAUCCAUCAAAUAGAAGAAGUGAAACUUUACACC